CUAUACUGCAAGUCGAGCGAACUGACGAGGAGCUUGCUCCUUUGACGUUAGCGGCGGACGGGUGAGUAACACGUGGGUAACCUACCUAUAAGACUGGAAUAACUCCGGGAAACCGGGGCUAAUGCCGGAUAACAUAUCGAACCGCAUGGUUCGAUAGUGAAAGACGGUCUUGCUGUCACUUAUAGAUGGACCCGCGCCGUAUUAGCUAGUUGGUGAGGUAACGGCUCACCAAGGCAACGAUACGUAGCCGACCUGAGAGGGUGAUCGGCCACACUGGAACUGAGACACGGUCCAGACUCCUACGGGAGGCAGCAGUAGGGAAUCUUCCGCAAUGGGCGAAAGCCUGACGGAGCAACGCCGCGUGAGUGAUGAAGGUCUUCGGAUCGUAAAGCUCUGUUGUUAGGGAAGAACAAAUGUGUAAGUAACUGUGCACAUCUUGACGGUACCUAACCAGAAAGCCACGGCUAACUACGUGCCAGCAGCCGCGGUAAUACGUAGGUGGCAAGCGUUAUCCGGAAUUAUUGGGCGUAAAGCGCGCGUAGGCGGUUUUUUAAGUCUGAUGUGAAAGCCCACGGCUCAACCGUGGAGGGUCAUUGGAAACUGGAAAACUUGAGUGCAGAAGAGGAAAGUGGAAUUCCAUGUGUAGCGGUGAAAUGCGCAGAGAUAUGGAGGAACACCAGUGGCGAAGGCGGGCUUUCUGGUCUGUAACUGACGCUGAU
rnacentral:rRNA from 1 species